rnacentral:ncRNA from 1 species
UGAUAGCGAUGAAGCGUGAGGUUGCUGCCUGUAAGAUGGCAGGUUUUCCGUGGAGCGAAUGUCAAGUUAGGAAACUGGCGACAA